GACGAACGCUGGCGGCGUGCUUAACACAUGCAAGUCGAACGGAAAGGCCCUGCUUUUGCUGCGUGCACGUGUGGCGAACGCGUGUGUAACACGUGAGUAAACUGCACUUGUCUUUGUGAUAUCUUCAGGAAACUCGGGCUCAUACCGGAUAGGAUCUCUUGAUGCACGGUGGGGGUUGGAAAGUUUCGGCGGUUCGGUAUGGACUAGCGGCAUCACCGCUUGUUGGGGUGGUAGUGGCUUACCAAGGCUUUGAGGGGUAGGCGGCCUGAGAGGCUGACCGGCCACCUGGGGACUGAGAGACGGCCCAGACUGGUACGGGAGGCAGAAGGGGGGAAGCUUGCAGAAUGGGCGGAAGCCUGAUGCAGAAACGCUGCGUGCGGGAAGACGGCCUUCGGGGGGUAAACCGCUUUCGCCUGUGACGAAGCGUGAGUGACGGUAAUGGGUAAAGAAGCACCGGCUAACUACGUG
rnacentral:rRNA from 1 species